CCUACGGGUGGCAGCAGUGGGGAAUAUUGCACAAUGGGCGAAACCCUGAUGCAGCAACGCCGCGUGAAGGAAGACGGUUUUCGGAUUGUAAACUUCUGUUCUUAGUGAAGAAUAAUGAAGGUAGCUAAGGAGCAAGCCACGGCUAACUACGUGCCAGCAGCCGCGGUAAUACGUAGGUGGCAAGCGUUGUCCGGAAUUACUGGGUGUAAAGGGAGCGCAGGCGGGAAGACAAGUCAGCUGUGAAAACUACGGGCUUAACUGGUAGACUGCAGUUGAUACUGGUUUUCUUGAGUGAAGUAGAGGUAGGCGGAAUGCCGGGUGUAGCGGUGAAAUGCGUAGAGAU
rnacentral:rRNA from 1 species